rnacentral:lncRNA from 1 species
CGGCGGCGGCGGCGGCGGCGGCUCCGGCUCCGGCUCCGGCUCCGGUUGAGCGGGCGAGGAGGAGGAGGAGGAAGGGCUGUGCGGCGGCUGCGCCUCUGCGUGUGUCGGCGGGCGGGUGGCCGGGAUGGAGCACCACCAGCCCGCCAGCCGCUACCAAGUGAUAAGAAGUAGCUGGACUCCUCCGUGUAGCUUGUUCCUUCUGCGAUGUUCAGGGGAGACUCGUAGAGAAUCAGCAGAGGUCCUGAAGUCAUUGGCUCUUCUUUACAAAGUCAAAUGA